rnacentral:rRNA from 1 species
UGGGGAAUAUUGCACAAUGGGCGCAAGCCUGAUGCAGCAACGCCGCGUGAGGGAUGACGGCCUUCGGGUUGUAAACCUCUUUUAGUAGGGAAGAAGCGAAAGUGACGGUACCUGCAGAAAAAAGCACCGGCUAACUACGUGCCAGCAGCCGCGGUAAUACGUAGGGUGCGAGCGUUGUCCGGAAUUAUUGGGCGUAAAGAGCUCGUAGGCGGUCUGUCGCGUCUGCUGUGAAAAACCCCGAGGCUCAACCUCGGGCCUGCAGUGGGUACGGGCAGACUAGAGUGCGGUAGGGGAGAAUGGAAUUCCUGGUGUAGCGGUGGAGUGCGCAGAUAUCAAGAGGAACACCGAUGGCGAAGGCAGUUCUCUGGGCCGUAACUGACGCUGAGGAGCGAAAAGCGUGGGGAGCGAACAGGAUUAGAUACCCUGGUAGUCCACGCCGUAAAACGUUGGGCGCUAGAUGUGGGGACCACUCCACGGUUUCCGUGUCGCAGCUAACGCAUUAAGCGCCCCGCCUGGGGAGUACGGCCGC